CGUUCCUUUAACCUUGCACCAAGUGGUUAGGUGCAUUUCAGGAACAGGACGAGGCACAGUCAACAUCCACAAGGACCAAAUGGUAGCUCAGGAAUGUUAUUCAAUAGCCAUCAAGCCUUUGAAAGGGAAAAAAAUCAGAAUCGAGGGAAGUUCUCAAAAAUUAAGCUAAGAGAAACUUUGUUCUUGAUAAAAUCCUCAAAAAUCAAACACUGAUUUGCAUCGGAGUAUCCCUUGCCAGCACACACUCGAAGUCAUAUAAACAAGGAUUCGCGAAUAUUUCAAGUUUAAUCUAGUUCAAUUAGAGGAAUCAGGUAUUGUUCUAUGACAAUAAAAUUCGGAUCCGGAUUUUUCCAGAUCCGCAUAUUAAAAAAUACCGAUCCAGAUUUAAAAAAUAAAGAUUCACACGAAUCCGAAUCCAAGUGCACUUGCAUUCAGAAAAUCGAAUAUCUGAAUCUGGUUUAAUUUUGUUUAAAUUAAAAAUUAAAUUAAAAAAUAUAUAUUAACUUAAAUUAAAAAAAAUCUAACCUAAAUGGCUAAGUCCCUAACCAUUGCAUCCAAUUCCACGCACACUCAAGCCUCACGGUACCUCACCAACAGGCGUAACCCUCAACCCUAAUGCCCAAAUCUGAAGGGCUUGUAACGCUGUCGACCAAUUGUCGUCUUCCUUGCAGCCUCGCCUCAGCAUCGCGUCAAAGCCUCACCUGAGUACGUUGCUGUCACUGCACAUUGCAGGCCUCGCCGUCGUCAAAGUGAUAUGGUCCCAAUCAGAUGCUUGCUAACAAUUGCAAGUAAUAUAGUUGUUCUGCUUUUGGUGAGAACGACCACAAACAAAUAUUAAGAUAAUUUCUCCAUGACUUUUAUUUCAGUACUAGAGAUUAUUUAUAACAGCAAGCGUAACAAUACUUUGCUUUGUAACCGAGAUUAUUGGCUCAAAUCUAGUAAAUAAAAUUAAGGAUAAUAUCGCCUAGCUAUAAACUCGCAGCAGAAUUCAAAAUCAAAUGUAACAACCAAGAUUUGAUUCCCUGCUAAAUCUGCAAUGAUCACUUGACGUGGUAAUCCAACCGUUAUUGCUCCGGUAAGCAUCCACACACAAACUUUACGUGAUACAUGUCUUGAAUGUGCCAUGCAAGGCUUGCAUGGGUUACGUAGCUCAAGCAUAACCCUCAUACUUGUAGUUAGGCUUGGGUACUCUCAUUGAUCUUUUUGGUUCUUUAUCACAAAGCCACGCCGUUAUUGCUGCAUAGGUCACCGUCAUCCAAGCCUCGCCUGGUUGGAUUAUUCUUGCCUGUAAUUUGCUCUCUUGUUUCUGUUAAUUUUCUUUUGUUUCUAUUAAUUACAUGGCUUUUUUCUUUUUCUAGUUAAUAAUUUGGUAUUGUGGUUGCUU
rnacentral:lncRNA from 1 species